GGAUGUGGGGUCAAUCAAGCUGUUACAUCUGCCCCCCCCCCUUGGUCACCAGGUUGAUUUUGCUGAUCUGGCUGUUUAGGCAGGUGUCUCCUACCUCUCUUACCACUCCAUGUGUGGUCCAUCCAAGAGAAUGACCUUAGGAGUGGAGAGAUGGCAUAGCAGUUAAGGCACUUGCGCCCAAAGCCAAAGGACCCAGGUUUGAUUCCCCAGUACUCAUGUAAGACAGAUGCAGAAGGUAAUGCAUGUAUCUGGGGUU
rnacentral:sRNA from 1 species